rnacentral:tRNA from 1 species
UCAGUGGCUAAGUGGAUAACGCGAUGACGUUUGAAGCGAAAGGUACUGGGUUCGAGUCCCAACUUUGAGA